rnacentral:rRNA from 1 species
UUAAUCAGGGGGAUAGCCCGAAGAAAUUCGGAUUAACACCGCAUAAAAACACAGGAUAGCAUUAUCCAAUGUUCAAAUAUCUAUAGGAUUAAGAUGGGCAUGCGUGUCAUUAGCUAGUUGGGCGGGGUAACGGCCCACCAAGGCGACGAUGACUAGGGGAUCUGAGAGGAUGACCCCCCACACUGGUACUGAGACACGGACCAGACUCCUACGGGAGGCAGCAGUAAGGAAUAUUGGUCAAUGGAGGGAACUCUGAACCAGCCAUGCCGCGUGCAGGAAGACGGCCCUCUGGGUUGUAAACUGCUUUUAUUCGGGAAUAAACCUACUUACGUGUAAGUAGCUGAAUGUACCGAAGGAAUAAGGAUCGGCUAACUCCGUGCCAGCAGCCGCGGUAAUACGGAGGAUCCAAGCGUUAUCCAGAUUUAUUGGGUUUAAAGGGUGCGUAGGCGGCCUAUUAAGUCAGGGGUGAAAGACGGUAGCUCAACUAUCGCAGUGCCCUUGAUACUGAUGGGCUUGAAUGGACUAGAGGUAGGCGGAAUGUGACAAGUAGCGGUGAAAUGCAUAGAUAUGUCACAGAACACCGAUUGCGAAGGCAGCUUACUAUGGUCAUAUUGACGCUGAGGCACGUAAGCGUGGGGAUCAAACAGGAUUAGAUACCCUGGUAGUCCACGCCCUAAACGAUGAAUACUUGCUGUUAGCGAUAUACAGUUAGCGGCUAAGCGAAAGCGUUAAGUAUUCCAC